rnacentral:rRNA from 1 species
UACAGAGGUGCCGAGCGUUAGGCGGAAUCACUGGGCUUAAAGCGUGUGUAGGCGGACCGGUAAGUACCUUGUGAAAUCCCACGGCUCAACCGUGGAACUGCUGGGUAUACUGCCGGUCUUGAGCGACUUAGGGGCAGACGGAACAAGUGGUGGAGCGGUGAAAUGCGUAGAUAUCACUUGGAACGCCGACGGUGAGAACAGUCUGCUGGGAGUCCGCUGACGCUGAGACACGAAAGCCAGGGGAGCGAACGGG